GCUCUGGUGGCCUAAUGGUUAGAGCAUCCACCUCACAUGCGAGAGGUCCAGAGUUCAAACCCUGGCCAAGUCA